rnacentral:rRNA from 1 species
CGGGGUGCAGCAGGCGCGAAAACUUUACAAUGCGGGAAACAGCGAUAAGGGGACCUCGAGUGCCAGCUUACAAAUCUGGCUGUCCAGAUGCCUAAAAAGCAGUGCAUAGCAAGGGCCGGGCAAGACCGGUGCCAGCCGCCGCGGUAACACCGGCGGCUCGAGUGGUAACCGUUAUUAUUGGGUUUAAAGGGUCCGUAGCCGGCCGGAUAAGUCUCUUGGGAAAUCCAGCAGCUCAAUUGUCGGUCUUUCAGGAGAUACUGUUUGGCUCGAGGCCGGGAGAGGUGAGAGGUACUUCAGGGGUAGGGGUGAAAUCUUGUAAUCCUUGAAGGACCACCAAUGGCGAAGGCGUCUCACCAGAACGGACCUGACGGCAAGGGACGAAAGCUAGGGGCACGAACCGGAUUAGAUACCCGGGUAGUCCCAGCCGUAAACGAUACUCGCUAGGUGUCGGCCACGGUGCGACCGCAUUCGGUGCCGCAGGGAAACCGUGAAGCGAGCCACCUGGGAAGUACGGCCGCAAGGCUGAAACUUAAAGGAAUUGGCGGGGGAGCACAAGGGCGAAUNGCGG